AGGACGAACGCUGGCGGCGUGCUUAACACAUGCAAGUCGAGCGGAAAGGCCUUUCGGGGUACUCGAGCGGCGAACGGGUGAGUAACACGUGAGUAAUCUGCCCAUCGCUUCAGGAUAGCCAUCGGAAACGGUGAUUAAUACUGGAUAUGACAUUCCUUCGCAUGUUGGGGUGUGGAAAGUUUUUUCGGCGGUGGAUGUGCUCGCGGCCUAUCAGCUUGUUGGUGGGGUAAUGGCCUACCAAGGCUUUGACGGGUAGCCGGCCUGAGAGGGUGACCGGCCACGACUGGGACUGAGACACGGCCCAGACUCCUACGGGAGGCAGCAGUGGGGAAUAGUUGGACAAGUGGGCGGAAGCCUGAUCCAGCAACGCCGCGUGAGGAUGACGGCCUUCGGGUUCGUAACCGUCUUUCAGCACGAGACGUAAGUUUG
rnacentral:rRNA from 1 species